AGCCGUGUGAUCGACAUAGUGCGAACUAUUCUUUCGCCAUUUACUAAAGAAUACCCUGUGUUGGCCAAUCAGAGCAGCAUACGCCAAUUUUUGAAGUCUUUCAUCUCGUUAAAAU
rnacentral:snRNA from 1 species